UUCAGUUCACGCUGUGAGGCCUGCUGACAUUAAAAUAAUCGCUGCUCUUGGGGACUCGCUCACAACUGCAAUAGGUGCUAACGCUUCAACUGUACUUGGAAUUCCAUAUGAAUAUCGCCACUUAUCUUGGAGCAUUGGAGGAUACGGGACAUAUAAGGAUGUGAUCACACUUGCCAAUAUUUUUAAACUCUUUAAUCCAAAUGUCAUUGGUCCAGCUCCUUCCAGAACACUCAACGGGAAACCUGCUCCUCUAAGUGAAACUGGUUUCAAUCUAGCUGUUACUGGGGCAAAUACAUAUGAGUUUCCCGAUCAGACAAGGCACCUUAUUAACACACUCAAAGCAUAUCCUG